UACGUAGGGGGCAAGCGUUAUCCGGAUUUACUGGGUGUAAAGGGAGUGCAGGUGGCACUGUAAGUCAGAAGUGAAAGCCCGGGGCUCAACCCCGGGACUGCUUUUGAAACUGCGGAGCUUGAGUGCAGGAGAGGUAAGCGGAAUUCCUAGUGUAGCGGUGAAAUGCGUAGAUAUUAGGAGGAACACCGGUGGCGAAGGCGGCUUACUGGACUGUAACUGACACUGAGGCUCGAAAGCGUGGGGAGCAAAC
rnacentral:rRNA from 1 species